rnacentral:rRNA from 1 species
CAGCCGCCACGGGAAUACAAAGGGUGCAAGCGUUAAUCGGAGUUACUGGGCGUAAAGCGUGCGUAGGCGGUGAGUUAAGUCUGCUGUGAAAUCCCCGGGCUCAACCUGGGAAUGGCAGUGGAUACUGGCUCGCUAGAGUGUGUCAGAGGAUGGUGGAAUUCCCGGUGUAGCGGUGAAAUGCGUAGAGAUCUGGAGGAACAUUAGUGGCGAAGGCGGCCAUCUGGGACAACACUGACGCUGAGGCACGAAAGCGUGGGGAGCAAACAGGAUUAGAGACCCCCGUAGUCCCUGUCUCUUAUAC